rnacentral:rRNA from 1 species
AACGAACGCUGGCGGCAUGCCUAACACAUGCAAGUCGAACGAGACCUUCGGGUCUAGUGGCGCACGGGUGCGUAACGCGUGGGAACCUGCCCUUAGGUUCGGAAUAACUCCCCGAAAGGGGUGCUAAUACCGGAUAAUGUCUUCGGACCAAAGAUUUAUCGCCUUUGGAUGGGCCCGCGUUGGAUUAGCUAGUUGGUAGGGUAAAAGCCUACCAAGGCGACGAUCCAUAGCUAGUCUGAGAGGAUGAUCAGCCACACUGGGACUGAGACACGGCCCAGACUCCUACGGGAAGCAGCAGUGGGGAAUAUUGGACAAUGGGCGAAAGCCUGAUCCAGCAAUGCCGCGUGAGUGAUGAAGGCCUUAGGGUUGUAAAGCUCUUUUACCCGGGAUGAUAAUGACAGUACCGGGAGAAUAAGCUCCGGCUAACUCCGUG